rnacentral:lncRNA from 1 species
CCUUUUCAUUCUCUCCUUCCCUAGCUAGCUAGCUAGCUAGCUAGCUCUCUCUUGUCUUUGCUAUAUAAUAUUCAUCCAUCUUUGACAAGUCAGAACCCAUAAUCCCACACAUCCAUCAGAUCCAGGAAUAACUAACUAACUUUUAUAACAACAACAUCAGGAGAUUUGAUUGUUGGUCUUGUAGUUAGAGCACUUGCAUACCCAUCAAUCAAAUCAGCAUCAGAAGACACAACACAAGUAGGCCAAUCCUCCCCAGAAAGAGAAAGCUGCUCAAGAACUGAAGAAAAAGGAAAACCAUGUCAUCCUCCUCCGCCGCCUCUCUUUCGCCCGACCACCACCACCUCUCCGGUGCCCUUUCCGACCAGCUCUGUUACGUCCAUUGCAAAUACUGCGACACUGUCCUCGCCGUACUCACUCUCCCUUUUCCUCUCCUUAUCAUCAUCAUCAUCAUUUCUUCUAGUUGGUCGGUUAA